rnacentral:rRNA from 1 species
UUACCUACGCUCUUAUCCAUACUCAACUCAACAUACCAAUACACCACCUUACAACUAACACACACCCCAUACUCCCACCGCACGCACCAGUAGGGAAUUUUUCACAAAGGGAGCAAGCGUGAAGGAGCAACACCGCGUGAGUGAAGAAGGGAUUGGGCUCGUAAAGCUGAGUUAGUGUAGAAGAACGUGCGUGAGAGUAAGCGUUCAAGCAAGGGCCGUAUCCAGCCUGAGAGUCACGGCUAAAUACGUGCCAGCAGCCGCGGUAAUACGUAGGGGGCCAGGGUUAUCCGGAUUUAUUGGGCGUUAAAGCGGGGGCAGGGCGGCUGCUUAGAUUUGAGGUGAAAGCCUUGGGGCUCACCGCAGAAGUGCCUUGGAAACCGGCCGGCUUGGGGGCUGAGGAGGACAGUGGAAAUUCCAUGGGUAGCGGUGGAAAGGGUAGAUAUAUGGAAGAACCCCCGUGGGGAAGGCGGCUGUAUGGUAUGCAACUGACGCUGAGGCUCGAAAGCAUGGGUAGCGAACAGGAUUAGAUACCCUGGUAGUCCAUGCCGUAAACGAUGAGUACUAGGUGUGGAGGGUCUCCGCCCUUCAGUGCCGGAGCUAACGCAUUAAGCACUCCGCCUGGGGAGUACGGCGGCAAGGGUGAAACUCAAAGGAAGGGAUGGGGGGUCGCACAAGGGGUGGAUCAUGCGGUUUAAUUGGAAGUUACGUGAAGAGCCUUUUCAGGUCUCGACAUGUGGCGCUGACUUAAGAGAUAAGGCGUUCCGCUAGGGUACGCAAUGACAGGUGGUGCAGGGUUGUGGUCAGCGUGUGUGUUGAGAUGUGGGGGUAAGUCCUGCAAGGAGGGCAACCGAUGGUAGCAGUGGCGAGCAGUAAGUCGGGCAAUGAAGUGAUCAGACGGGGGACCAUCCGGAGGAAGGGGGGGAUUACGUCAGAUCAUCAGCCCCCUUAUGGGCGGGGGUGCACACGUCAUCCAAUGGAGGGUACAAUGAGUCGC